UUUCUUUGUUGGGCUGCGUUAUAGUGGGGGCUGGGGUAUUUGGGCCACUUGGGUUUAUAAUUGGGCUGAGGUGGUGUAAGUGGGUUAGGGUAAAUAGGCUAAUUAGGCCCGGUAUUGGGCUUAAUUUUUUUUUUAAUUUGGAAUUUUAUUAUUAUUUUUUAUUUUUAUAUUGGUUUUAUUUAUUUAUACGGGCUCGGGCAAAUUGGGCUAUUACAAUGAUAAAACUCAAACACUGUGACAUUGGAUGAC
rnacentral:lncRNA from 1 species